rnacentral:rRNA from 1 species
UAAUACGAAGGGGGCUAGCGUUGCUCGGAAUUACUGGGCGUAAAGGGCGCGUAGGCGGGUGUUUAAGUCAGAGGUUAAAUCCCAGGGCUCAACCCUGGAACUGCCUUUGAUACUGGGCACCUAGAGUUCGGGAGAGGUGUGUGGAACUCCGAGUGUAGAGGUGAAAUUCGUAGAUAUUCGGAAGAACACCAGUGGCGAAGGCGACACACUGGCCCGAUACUGACGCUGAGGCGCGAAAGCGUGGGGAGCAAACAGGAUUAGAUACCCUGGUAGUCCACGCCGUAAACGAUGAGUGCUAGUUGUCGGCAUGCAUGCAUGUCGGUGACGCAGCUAACGCAUUAAGCACUCCGCCUGGGGAGUACGGUCGCAAGAUUA